rnacentral:rRNA from 1 species
GAUGAACGCUGGCGGCGUGCCUAACACAUGCAAGUCGAACGAAGCGUCUUAAAGGAAGUUUUCGGAUGGAAUUUGGGAUGACUGAGUGGCGGACGGGUGAGUAACGCGUGGAUAACCUGCCUCAUACAGGGGGAUAACAACGGGAAACCGUUGCUAAUACCGCGUACGAUAUGCUUUCGGCAUCGAGAGCAUAUGAAAGGUGGCCUCUAUAUAUAAGCUAUCGCUGAAGGAGGGGAUUGCGUCUGAUUAGCUAGUUGGAGGGGUAACGGCCCACCAAGGCAAUGAUCAGUAGCCGGUCUGAGAGGAUGAACGGCCACAUUGGGACUGAGACACGGCCCAA